AUGAUCAACAUCAACAGGACCCAGGAAGUCGAGGUGGUCCUGAGGCCUCAGGUGCAGAAAGAGGACCUGAACAGAGCCCAGGAGCAAAUGGCGUUUGGUUAUGACUUGGAUGCACAGAUGAUCCCUGGACCCACACAGCUGAGUACUACCUGCCGAAGAUUCCUGCUGCUGCUGACCAUUGUUGGCCAUGAGGGCAGCGACCUAGCAGCCAUAUUGGGCACUCCAGAGGAGAAAUGCUUCCUUGAGACUCUGUUUUUCUGCCUCCUGGAUACGAGGAGCCUAGAGAACCUGCAGCUCCUGCUGACUGAAGAGGAAUCCUGGAAACAUUUUGUGGCAGGAGUUGGUUUGUCCAGGGAAGAGGAAGAUGCCUGGUGGGAAGCUCUUGUUGAGAACUUUGCAGAUCCUGAUGAAGAAGAAGAAGAAGAUGAACUCCAAAGAAAGUGACCUUCUGGACAAGAAAGAGAGAAAAGAGGAAGAUACCUUGAGGGAGGCUCUUGGUGGGAAUACAGCUGAUACUGAUACAGAAGAUGAAGACCAACUCCAAAAUGACCUGUGGCACCAGGAAAGGUUCUUGGAGGCUUAUCCUCAGGUGAGGCAGGAGCUCGAGGAUCACAUCAAGAAGCUCCACGCCCUGGCAGACAAGGUUGACAAGGUGCACAGGGACUGCACCAUCUCACAGGUGGUGGCCACCUCCAGCAGUGCUGUGUCUGGAGUCCUCACAAUCCUUGGCCUGGCUCUGGCACCUGUGACAGCAGGAGUCAGUCUGGCACUGUCAGCCACUGGCAUGGGGCUGGGAGCAGCAGCGACUGUGACUAGUGUUUCCACAAUCAUUGUGGAAAAAGUAAUCGUGGUGUCUGCUGAAGCUAAAGCCAGCAAGCUGGUGCCAACCAAAGACACGAUGAACGGCAUGAAAGAAGUUUUGGAGCAGAGUGGCCCCAGAAUUGUUUCCAUAUCCAAAAAUUUGAUAAACUUUAAGGAUAACAUUCAAGCCAUCAAACUGAUCAAAGCCAAUCCUCACCUAGCAACUAAUGCCAAGUUUCUCAUGACCGCAGGGAAGACAUCAACCCAAACCACUAGACAGGUGAAGGAAGUCUUUGGAGGUACAGCUCUGGCAAUGACCAAAGGAGCCCGGAUCAUGGGUGCAGCCACUGCAGGUGUUUUCCUCAUGAUAGAUGUGGUCAGGCUUGUGAAACACUCGAAGCAUUUGCAUGAGGGAGCUAAGUCAGUGUCAGCUGCAGAGCUGCGACAGCAGGCUCGGGACCUGGAGCAGAAGCUGCAGGAGCUCAACCAGGUUCACGACAGCCUGAUUCAGUGACCGCUUCCCCUUCAGUGCAGCUCAGAGGACUGGGAGGGAGUGUGGUGGACAGAGCCGUGAACACAUGAGAGGCCCUUUUAGUCUCCAUACUGCCUUGCAGUUCAGCCAAGUGGGCCAUCACAGUGACCAUUCUUUUCUCUCUGACUCCUUCAGAGCUACACUAGGACAAAAUGUAGAAGCUUUCUUAAGAACCCUGGAAACUUUGCAGGUGGAUUCAUAGAAUUGAUCAUUUCUUCCUCCAUCACUGGUGGCAGCCUCGUUCCAUUGCCACCCAGAAGACGGUGAAGGAAAGAAUAAAUACAAAGCCAAGGGAAGUGGCUGUCCCAUCACCCACUCAGAGGGUACUGUGUACAGGCUGACAGCCAUGCCAUGCCCAAAGAGGCCUCGAGUGGGAUAACAGUUGUGAGAUCCUCAGGAAACAGAUCCAAGCAUCGAUCGCCUGAUCAGCUCAGGGCAGGAUGCUGUGUGUAGACACAAACAUCAAAUGGCCUUAGAACUCAUGGAAUAUGGGCCACCUGAUAGCACAACCAGGAUUGGUGUGCCCUGGAGAAGCAGAGCCCUGAGGACUACGCGUCCUGAGGACUUCUUGCUGUUUUCCCAGUCUCCAUGUCCUUCCUAAUCCCUGUGAUGUGUGAAGAGUCUAAUGGGGCUUGCAGCCCCUCAGUGAGCAGGAUCAUGGGCACACAAUAAUAGGGUUUGACCUUUUUCCAGCAUUGCUGCUGGAGCAGAUUAAUGAUUUGCUCGCCACCCUGGGAAAGAACUUUGAAAUGUAGGUUAUUAGCAGUGACCACCACACUUACAAAGAACUUGGAGAUGGGGAAAUUAGGUUAAGAUGUUUUUUGCUAGUGGCUCUGAUGUAAAAAUUCUAGAAUACAGUUUGAAGUUCAGAAAGGCACCCUCUUAAUAGCUGAGUUAGGGAUAUUUUAUGGUCAGGGAACAUGAACAAUAAAAGGCUGCUGUGAGAUGCCACUCUUGCUGUAACAGGGCUUGUGAUCAAGGUGAUGAUUGAUUUCUUAUACCCAUUUUUGCCCUCAACUUCCUGAUGCAAUCUAAUAAAAAAUUGAUGAGUAGAUUAUUCAUGCACUCUGAGAAUUUAAGAUAGAAAUGACUGAUUUUUAAUAUAAAUGUUUAGAUUUGUGGCUCUGUCAAGAUUUUUAUAAGACUGCCUUUUAAGAUAAAUAACAAAGUAAUUGUUUCUUUCUAACUGCAGAUUGUAGCCUUCCAGGAAAAAACAAAGGGCCUGAGAAAAUGAUCUUGCUUGCUUACACUUUGUUAAGCUAUAAAAAGUUACUUAGUUACAAAUGUUGUGGGUUGUUGGGAAUAAUUUGCUUUUUCUUCACCUGUGAUAUGUAAAAUGUUUUUUAUGAAAAAGGGAUAUACUGUUUCUUUGUAAUCAUUUGCUUAAAGAUUAAUAGAAUAUAGUCACAUUGUAAUUUUUAUGCUGCUUGAAAGAGUUUGCUUGGAUAUAUAAGAUGUGGAAGAAAAAUAAACUGUUGGAGCUUGUUUAGCUUCA